GGAUCAACUGCCUGAUUUUAAGCGAAGAGUUGAGACGCCUGCCUAGCUGCUGUCUUGUCUUGCCUUGUUUUAUCUUGUGUUCCGAUCUGUUGGUUGUCCAGUUUUGUUCCUGCUGCUUACCUCGCCCCUGGGGGCUUUGGGUCUCACGCUAAGCCCCUUUUGGACUAUCGUUUCACUCCAGCUUUCGCGGCGGGUCGGGGCGAUCCUCAGCUGCAUAUUGGGCUGGUGUUACAAAACUGGUACUGCCUCUCCCUUUUCUCCCAGUUGUGGAGAGCUGCGCGAGACUGAGUGGGGCUACGGACAAUCGGAACCAGCACCAGCUGUGGGCUGGCUCGCAGACGAACUGAGGCUCUACCAGCGGCCGUGGGACCUUAGGUGGCGGGUCGUUUUCCACACUUCUUUUGUUGUACAGCACCAGGUGAAUAGACUAUAGUAGGUUUUUUGUGUGGUUUUCUUUUGGUCCACCGCUGCUGGUAAGUCCCAGUUGUGUGUUUAUUUUUAUUGUAAUUUGGGACACCGUUUUAGACAUUCAGUGCGCUCUCAGUGUUUUGUUUUUAUUUUACAUUAAUAAAUAAAAUUGUGUUAAUAUUUGA